AGCGGCGGACGGGUGAGUAAUGUCUGGGAAACUGCCUGAUGGAGGGGGAUAACUACUGGAAACGGUAGCUAAUACCGCAUAAUGUCGCAAGACCAAAGAGGGGGACCUUCGGGCCUCUUGCCAUCAGAUGUGCCCAGAUGGGAUUAGCUAGUAGGUGGGGUAACGGCUCACCUAGGCGACGAUCCCUAGCUGGUCUGAGAGGAUGACCAGCCACACUGGAACUGAGACACGGUCCAGACUCCUACGGGAGGCAGCAGUGGGGAAUAUUGCACAAUGGGCGCAAGCCUGAUGCAGCCAUGCCGCGUGUAUGAAGAAGGCCUUCGGGUUGUAAAGUACUUUCAGCGGGGAGGAAGGUGUUGAGGUUAAUAACCUCAGCAAUUGACGUUACCCGCAGAAGAAGCACCGGCUAACUCCGUGCCAGCAGCCGCGGUAAUACGGAGGGUGCAAGCGUUAAUCGGAAUUACUGGGCGUAAAGCGCACGCAGGCGGUCUGUCAAGUCGGAUGUGAAAUCCCCGGGCUCAACCUGGGAACUGCAUUCGAAACUGGCAGGCUAGAGUCUUGUAGAGGGGGGUAGAAUUCCAGGUGUAGCGGUGAAAUGCGUAGAGAUCUGGAGGAAUACCGGUGGCGAAGGCGGCCCCCUGGACAAAGACUGACGCUCAGGUGCGAAAGCGUGGGGAGCAAACAGGAUUAGAUACCCUGGUAGUCCACGCCGUAAACGAUGUCGACUUGGAGGUUGUGCCCUUGAGGCGUGGCUUCCGGAGCUAACGCGUUAAGUCGACCGCCUGGGGAGUACGGCCGCAAGGUUAAAACUCAAAUGAAUUGACGGGGGCCCGCACAAGCGGUGGAGCAUGUGGUUUAAUUCGAUGCAACGCGAAGAACCUUACCUACUCUUGACAUCCAGAGAACUUUCCAGAGAUGGAUUGGUGCCUUCGGGAACUCUGAGACAGGUGCUGCAUGGCUGUCGUCAGCUCGUGUUGUGAAAUGUUGGGUUAAGUCCCGCAACGAGCGCAACCCUUAUCCUUUGUUGCCAGCGGUUAGGCCGGGAACUCAAAGGAGACUGCCAGUGAUAAACUGGAGGAAGGUGGGGAUGACGUCAAGUCAUCAUGGCCCUUACGAGUAGGGCUACACACGUGCUACAAUGGCGCAUACAAAGAGAAGCGACCUCGCGAGAGCAAGCGGACCUCAUAAAGUGCGUCGUAGUCCGGAUUGGAGUCUGCAACUCGACUCCAUGAAGUCGGAAUCGCUAGUAAUCGUAGAUCAGAAUGCUACGGUGAAUACGUUCCCGGGCCUUGUACACACCGCCCGUCACACCAUGGGAGUGGGUUGCAAAAGAAGUAGGUAGCUUAACCUUCGGGAGGGCGCUUACCACUUUGUGAUUCAUGACUGGGGUGAAGUCGUAACAAGGUAACCGUAGGGGAACCUGCGGUUGGAUCACCUCCUU
rnacentral:rRNA from 1 species